rnacentral:misc_RNA from 1 species
GUAGGUGAACCUGCGGAAGGAUCAUUUCCGAAAAACAUUCUAUAUACCAACCCACAGUGUGCAGUGUUUUGGGUUUUUUUACUCUCUCCAUCUGGCCCCAAGUCCCCCGCUAUGCCUCGUGUUGCCGCAUGCGGCAUAUGGCACAUAGCGUUUGGGAUGCCACGGCAGGGUGCGAGAGAGGCCUUGAUGAACUACCUUUGCUUUGAAGGUUGAUGUAUUCUUUUCUUUCACAGAAGAUAUUAAAUGAUACGACAACUUUUAACGGUGGAUCUCUUGGCUCGU